GCCACCCCACCCAACAUUUCGAAAGCCCAUGUAAGGCGGUACUACUCACCAUGUUGACUUCGGACACCAUGUCUAUGCUGGCGAUUUCGAUCCUCAUGCCCACGUCCACGGGAGAGCCUGGAAGGUGACAUAGGCGCUUCCUUGGAACAGAUUUAUUUAAUAGCACAUAAUGCACGGCAAUUUUUUUACCACAAGACCCAGCAGAAUAUGUCUUCAUCAAAACAUACCUCAAGACACUUUCACACAGCUACAGCAUUUUUACGAUUUGGUCCCUACUCCCUCUGCUUCUGUUCCCCAAUACAAAAAUAAGAUCUGUGUUGCAGGCUAGCAUGUAAGGGAGAAGGUGACAUAGCUGUCACUCCAAAAUAUUCUCUUUAUGUAAGUAAGUAUCAUUCUUGGUAAGGGAAGUAACUAGCCAUACAAUCCCCCCCUUCAGAUGUAAAGCUCAACAGAAACAAUUUUACUUCAUGCGUUACUGCUUGUACAAUCGAAUAAUUUGGCAAAUGAGCAAGAAGACAGAGAACUGCUUAGACAGCUUUUGAUCAAAACUGGACAGUGCUAACAAAUGAUAAGUUGCCAAUGAAGGUCAGAGCAGAUAUCUUCAACACUACAGUUUUACUGGCAAUGUUAUACUCAUCUGAAACACGGGUAACAACAAAGUUAGAAGAGGAAAAACUGUCGGUGACUCAGAGAGCAAUGGAAAGAAGGAUGUGAGGCAUUACAAAAACAGAAAAAGUCUGCAAUAUAAGAACUGCAUCAAAGAACCAGAGUACGUGACGUGGUCAAUGAAAUCUAUGAGGCAAAAGAAUGGGCAGGGCAUAUAGCACAAACAAAAGACAACUGAUGGACAUGUCAACUAACAAACUGGAUACCAAAAGACCACAAGUAGCCUUUGAGUAGAUCUUGUACUCAAUGGUAUUACUGUAUAUGUAUGUAUUUGACUAAGUUUCUGUAGGAUCACUACUUGUGUAUGCGUGUGUUAAGGGAAAAACACCUGGUCAAUUACAACUCAUAGUUGAGUAAUUGGAGCAAUCAAGGCAAACAAGCUUGAGCCACUCCCUGAAUGGGGUACAACUUGGGGAAUGUUUGUAAUUUUUUUUGGGACUUACUGAAUCCUGACUGAGAGCCUACUAUGCUUGUCUUCUUGCACCAUUGAAGAAAUUUUCAAAGAAGAUGCAUGAAUUUAAUGCAAAGAACUUUAUGUGAGUUUUGUUGCUUCAGAUGGACUGAGUUAUUUUGAAGCUGGAGGUUUUGUGGUUUUUUUUUUUUGAAGCUGCUUGUUUAUUUUUCUCCUUGACUCUGCUACUUAAGAGUAAACUUUUAUUUUUUCCCCA